rnacentral:lncRNA from 1 species
GUCGAACAUCAUUUGUAAUGACACAUUCCAUAUGAACUACAAAUUUUAUCUUCUUUUAGCCCACAUUAGUUGGGACCUACUGCUUAUAAGCACUUAAAAGCUUAACCAAGCAAUUUGCAGAUCGUUGUAUAAGAAAAGGUCUUGGUUAAUUUCACUAGGAUUUGUAUUAAACUUUUUGGGGUGUUUCUCAACGACAUAACUCACAGAAUAUUACUCAUUGUUUACCUUAGGCAAGAAUCAUCCAUAGAGGCAAUUUAACAGCAUUUCACACAGGUAGUAUUGAAUAAUUUAUCAGCUUUUAGUGUGAGCAAUAUUGUGUUUUUGUGAUCCUGGAGCAUUGUGAGGAUAUUCUAACAGGUCUAGAUUAUAUAUGUUUGGUAUAUAUAAACAGCUAUAACAUAGUUUCUCCUUUUUGUAAUAAUGACUACCCUACGAGGAAUGGUUUUGGUAAUUUAUGGGGGUGAUAAUAAUUUAGUAACCAUCUUUGUAGCUCCACAAUAUUUCAAUUUAUGUUCCUGCCUAUUAUUAGGAAAUAUGAAUAAAGAUGUACAGUGUAAUGAGGGUACAAUGAAAUAUUUAUUCACGAGUGGGGCGAGCUCUUCUACGGUGGUUUAUGGUUUCUCUUGGCUAUACGGUUGAUCUGCGGGGAGAGAUCAAGUUUCAAGAAACAGUGAAUGGCGACGCUAGCAGGCAGGCAUAAGACUCUUAUCUUAAUGAAUGUGAACUCCAUUAUCAAACAAACAGAGAGGCAUAUGAUUUUUUGACAUAGAUUAAUAAAGGUAAAAGACCUUCUACAGGACACAAGAUUUUAACUAUCUUCUUUAAUCCAAUCGAGUGCAGUCCAAUCAAAUAUACCAGACAUACCAAUAGAGAUCAUAAAGAUUACCUCGCACGUAGUACAAAACGACAACCUCAUCUAAAAGAUUAAUUGUUUAACACAAUGCAAUUUAUUAAUUUAUAUUUGUAGACGCUUCCAACAAAUAUAUGACAACCAAGAUGAUGAAUAUUUCAGCUUUACCAACAGAAAAUCGUCAUACCAAAUAUUUAAAAAUUUCUAGCAACAAUGUUUUCAAGAAUCAGGCAAAACAGAUAGAAAUUUGUAUUAAAAGAAUAUUACAAUUCACAUCAAUUUAUGUUAACAUGAGAAUUCUCUAAAGCAAAGCAUAUUUCUUUGGACCAUUAUACGCAAAAUCAUAAACAAGUCAUCAGUAAUUUAUGUGACAAAUUACUCAUAAACUAG